AACGCGAAGAACCUUACCAGGGCUUGACAUAUACAUGAAAGCCUAAGAGAUUAGACCCCUCUUCGGAGCGUGUAUACAGGUGGUGCAUGGUUGUCGUCAGCUCGUGUCGUGAGAUGUUGGGUUAAGUCCCGCAACGAGCGCAACCCUUGUUCACUGUUGCCAGCACGUUAUGGUGGGGACUCAGUGGAGACCGCCGGGGUCAACUCGGAGAAAGGUGGGGAUGACGUCAAAUCAUCAUGCCCCUUACGUCUAGGGCUACAGGCGUGCUAUAAUGGCCAUUAUAAAGAGAAGCAAAACUGUGAGGUGGAGCAAAACUCCAAAGAUGGUCUCAGUUCGGAUUGAAGUCUGCAACUCGACUUCAUGAAGCUAGAAUCGAUAGUAAUCCUGAAUCAGAAUGUCAGGGUGAAUACGUUCCCGGGUCUUGUACACACGC
rnacentral:rRNA from 1 species